rnacentral:rRNA from 1 species
GUUUGAUGUUCUAACGUGGACCCGUUACCCGGGUUGCGGACAGUGUCUGGUGGGUAGUUUGACUGGGGCGGUCUCCUCCUAAAGAGUAACGGAGGAGCACGAAGGUUGGCUAAUCCUGGUCGGACAUCAGGAGGUUAGUGCAAUGGCAUAAGCCAGCUUGACUGCGAGCGUGACGGCGCGAGCAGGUGCGAAAGCAGGUCAUAGUGAUCCGGUGGUUCUGAAUGGAAGGGCCAUCGCUCAACGGAUAAAAGGUACUCCGGGGAUAACAGGCUGAUACCGCCCAAGAGUUCAUAUCGACGGCGGUGUUUGGCACCUCGAUGUCGGCUCAUCACAUCCUGGGGCUGAAGUAGGUCCCAAGGGUAUGGCUGUUCGCCAUUUAAAGUGGUACGCGAGCUGGGUUUAGAACGUCGUGAGACAGUUCGGUCCCUAUCUGCCGUGGGCGCUGGAGAACUGAGGGGGGCUGCUCCUAGUACGAGAGGACCGGAGUGGACGCAUCACUGGUGUUCGGGUUGUCAUGCCAAUGGCACUGCCCGGUAGCUAAAUGCGGAAGAGAUAAGUGCUGAAAGCAUCUAAGCACGAAACUUGCCCCGAGAUGAGUUCUCCCUGAGACUUAGAGUCUCCUGAAGGAACGUUGAAGACGACGACGUUGAUAGGCCGGGUGUGUAAGCGCAGCGAUGCGUUGAGCUAACCGGUACUAAUGAACCGUGAGGCUUAACCUU